GAUGAACGCUGGCGGCGUGCCUAAUACAUGCAAGUCGAGCGAACAGAUGAGGAGCUUGCUCCUCUGACGUUAGCGACGGACGGGUGAGUAACACGUGGAUAACCUACCUAUAAGACUGGGAUAACUACGGGAAACCGGAGCUAAUACCGGAUAAUAUAUUGAACCGCAUGGUUCAAUAGUGAAAGACGGUUUUGCUGUCACUUAUAGAUGGAUCCGCGCCGCAUUAGCUAGUUGGUAAGGUAACGGCUUACCAAGGCAACGAUGCGUAGCCGACCUGAGAGGGUGAUCGGCCACACUGGAACUGAGACACGGUCCAGACUCCUACGGGAGGCAGCAGUAGGGAAUCUUCCGCAAUGGGCGAAAGCCUGACGGAGCAACGCCGCGUGAGUGAUGAAGGUCUUCGGAUCGUAAAACUCUGUUAUUAGGGAAGAACAAAUGUGUAAGUAACUAUGCACGUCUUGACGGUACCUAAUCAGAAAGCCACGGCUAACUACGUG
rnacentral:rRNA from 1 species